rnacentral:rRNA from 1 species
AUUGAACGCUGGCGGCAUGCCUUACACAUGCAAGUCGAACGGUAACGGGCCUUCGGGUGCCGACGAGUGGCGAACGGGUGAGUAAUGCAUCGGAACGUACCUUUCAGUGGGGGAUAACGUAGCGAAAGUUACGCUAAUACCGCAUAUUCUGUGAGCAGGAAAGCAGGGGAUCGCAAGACCUUGCGCUGAUUGAGCGGCCGAUGUCAGAUUAGGUAGUUGGUGGGGUAAAGGCUCACCAAGCCGACGAUCUGUAGCUGGUCUGAGAGGACGACCAGCCACACUGGGACUGAGACACGGCCCAGACUCCUACGGGAGGCAGCAGUGGGGAAUUUUGGACAAUGGGCGCAAGCCUGAUCCAGCCAUUCCGCGUGCAGGAUGAAGGCCCUCGGGUUGUAAACUGCUUUUGUACGGAACGAAACGGUUCUCUCUAAUACACGGGGGCUAAUGACGGUACCGUAAGAAUAAGCACCGGCUAACUACGUGCCAGCAGCCGCGGUAAU